AGAGUUUGAUCCUGGCUCAGGACGAACGCUGGCGGCGUGCUUAACACAUGCAAGUCGAGCGAUGAAGCUUCCUUCGGGAAGUGGAUUAGCGGCGGACGGGUGAGUAACACGUGGGUAACCUGCCUCAAAGUGGGGGAUAGCCUUCCGAAAGGAAGAUUAAUACCGCAUAAUAUAAGAGAAUCGCAUGAUUUUUUUAUCAAAGAUUUAUUGCUUUGAGAUGGACCCGCGGCGCAUUAGCUAGUUGGUAAGGUAACGGCUUACCAAGGCAACGAUGCGUAGCCGACCUGAGAGGGUGAUCGGCCACAUUGGAACUGAGACACGGUCCAGACUCCUACGGGAGGCAGCAGUGGGGAAUAUUGCGCAAUGGGGGAAACCCUGACGCAGCAACGCCGCGUGGGUGAUGAAGGUCUUCGGAUUGUAAAGCCCUGUUUUCUAGGACGAUAAUGACGGUACUAGAGGAGGAAGCCACGGCUAACUACGUGCCAGCAGCCGCGGUAAUACGUAUGUGGCGAGCGUUGUCCGGAUUUACUGGGCGUAAAGGGUGCGUAGGCGGAUGUUUAAGUGGGAUGUGAAAUCCCCGGGCUUAACCUGGGGGCUGCAUUCCAAACUGGAUAUCUAGAGUGCAGAAGAGGAAAGCGGAAUUCCUAGUGUAGCGGUGAAAUGCGUAGAGAUUAGGAAGAACACCAGUGGCGAAGGCGGCUUUCUGGACUGUAACUGACGCUGAGGCACGAAAGCGUGGGUAGCAAACAGGAUUAGAUACCCUGGUAGUCCACGCCGUAAACGAUGGAUACUAGGUGUAGGGGGUAUCAACUCCCCCUGUGCCGCAGUUAACACAAUAAGUAUCCCGCCUGGGGAGUACGGUCGCAAGAUUAAAACUCAAAGGAAUUGACGGGGGCCCGCACAAGCAGCGGAGCAUGUGGUUUAAUUCGAAGCAACGCGAAGAACCUUACCUGGACUUGACAUCCCUUGCAUAGCCUAGAGAUAGGUGAAGCCCUUCGGGGCAAGGAGACAGGUGGUGCAUGGUUGUCGUCAGCUCGUGUCGUGAGAUGUUAGGUUAAGUCCUGCAACGAGCGCAACCCUUGUUAUUAGUUGCUACCAUUAAGUUGAGCACUCUAAUGAGACUGCCUGGGUAACCAGGAGGAAGGUGGGGAUGACGUCAAAUCAUCAUGCCCCUUAUGUCCAGGGCUACACACGUGCUACAAUGGUAGGUACAAUAAGACGCAAGACCGUGAGGUGGAGCAAAACUUAUAAAACCUAUCUCAGUUCGGAUUGUAGGCUGCAACUCGCCUACAUGAAGCUGGAGUUGCUAGUAAUCGCGAAUCAGAAUGUCGCGGUGAAUACGUUCCCGGGCCUUGUACACACCGCCCGUCACACCAUGAGAGCUGGUAACACCCGAAGUCCGUGAGGUAACCGUAAGGAACCAGCGGCCGAAGGUGGGAUUAGUGAUUGGGGUGAAGUCGUAACAAGGUAGCCGUAGGAGAACCUGCGGCUGGAUCACCUCC
rnacentral:rRNA from 1 species